rnacentral:rRNA from 1 species
UACGUAGGGUGCAAGCGUUAAUCGGAAUUACUGGGCGUAAAGCGUGCGCAGGCGGCUUUGCAAGACAGAUGUGAAAUCCCCGGGCUUAACCUGGGAACUGCAUUUGUGACUGCAUGGCUAGAGUGCGGCAGAGGGGGAUGGAAUUCCGCGUGUAGCAGUGAAAUGCGUAGAGAUGUGGAGGAACCCCGAUGGCGAACGCAGCCUCCUGGGCCAAUACUGACGCUCAUGCACGAAAGCGUGGGGAGCAAACAGG